rnacentral:rRNA from 1 species
ACGCGUGAGUAACCUGCCCUAGAGUGGGGGACAACAGUGGAAAACGACUGCUAAUACCGCAUAAGCCCACGGUGCCGCAUGACACUGAGGGAAAAGGAUUUAUUCGCUUUAGGAUGGACUCGCGUCCAAUUAGCUAGUUGGUGAGGUAACGGCCCACCAAGGCGACGAUUGGUAGCCGGACUGAGAGGUUGAACGGCCACAUUGGGACUGAGACACGGCCCAGACUCCUACGGGAGGCAGCAGUGGGGGAUAUUGCACAAUGGGGGAAACCCUGAUGCAGCGACGCCGCGUGGAGGAAGAAGGUUUUCGGAUUGUAAACUCCUGUCGUUAGGGACGAUAAUGACGGUACCUAACAAGAAAGCACCGGCUAACUACGUGCCAGCAGCCGCGGUAAAACGUAGGGUGCAAGCGUUGUCCGGAAUUACUGGGUGUAAAGGGAGCGCAGGCGGGAAGACAAGUUGGAAGUGAAAACCAUGGGCUCAACCCAUGAAUUGCUUUCAAAACUGUUUUUCUUGAGUAGUGCAGAGGUAGAUGGAAUUCCCGGUGUAGCGGUGGAAUGCGUAGAUAUCGGGAGGAACACCAGUGGCGAAGGCGGUCUACUGGGCACCAACUGACGCUGAGGCUCGAAAGCAUGGGUAGCAAACAGGAUUAGAUACCCUGGUAGUCCAUGCCGUAAACGAUGAUUACUAGGUGUUGGGGGAUUGACCCCCUCAGUGCCGCAGUUAACACAAUAAGUAAUCCACCUGGGGAGUACGACCGCAAGGUUGAAACUCAAAGGAAUUGACGGGGGCCCGCACAAGCAGUGGAGUAUGUGGUUUAAUUCGAAGCAACGCGAAGAACCUUACCAGGUCUUGACAUCCGAUGCAUAACACAGAGAUGUGUGAAAUCCUUCGGGACAUCGAGACAGGUGGUGCAUGGUUGUCGUCAGCUCGUGUCGUGAGAUGUUGGGUUAAGUCCCGCAACGAGCGCAACCCUUAUUGCCAGUUACUACGUUAAGAGGACUCUGGCGAGACUGCCGUUGACAAAACGGAGGAAGGUGGGGAUGACGUCAAAUCAUCAUGCCCUUUAUGACCUGGGCUACACACGUACUACAAUGGCGUUAAACAAAGAGAAGCAAGACCGCGAGGUGGAGCAAAACUCAAAAACAACGUCUCAGUUCAGAUUGCAGGCUGCAACUCGCCUGCAUGAAGUCGGAAUUGCUAGUAAUCGCGGAUCAGCAUGCCGCGGCGA